rnacentral:rRNA from 1 species
UACGGAGGGUGCAAGCGUUGUCCGGAUUUAUUGGGUUUAAAGGGUGCGUAGGCGGCUGAUUAAGUCAGCGGUGAAAUUCCACAGCUCAACUGUGGAACUGCCAUUGAUACUGGUUUGCUUGAGUACAGAUGAGGUAGGCGGAAUUGACAGUGUAGCGGUGAAAUGCUUAGAUAUUGUCAAGAACACCUAUUGCGAAGGCAGCUUACUAAGCUGUAACUGACGCUGAGGCACGAAAGCGUGGGGAUCAAACAGG